UUAAUCAUAAAGAAGGUCUAGCCUGCCCGGUGACAAAGUUUAACGGCCGCGGUACCCUGACCGUGCGAAGGUAGCAUAAUCACUUGUUCUUUAAAUGGGGACUCGUAUCAACGGCAUCACGAGGGCUACACUGUCUCCUCCCCCCAAUCAGUGAAACUGAUCUCCCCGUGAAGAAGCGGGGAUUUAACUAUAAGACGAGAAGACCCCAUGGAGCUUCAAGUCCAACACUUAACCCACGCCUGCACACCCACUAAGCUACAAGGACCUAAGUGCCGACUUUGGGUUGGGGGGACCGCGGAGCACAAUCAAACCUCCACGACUAAUGGGCCUUGCCCUUAUCCACGAACAACACUUCUAAGAAUCAACAAACUGAUGCUUAAUGAUCCGAUAACUCGACUAACGAACCAAGUUACCCUGGGGAUAACAGCGCAAUCCACUUCAAGAGUCCCUAUCGACAAGCGGGUUUACGACCUCGAUGUUGGAUCAGGGUAUCCCAGUGGUGCAGCAGCUACUAAAGGUUCGUUUGUUCAACGAUUAAAACCCUACGUGAUURRRUUUUCAGACCGGA
rnacentral:rRNA from 1 species